rnacentral:rRNA from 1 species
UACAGAGGGUGCGAGCGUUAAUCGGAAUUACUGGGCGUAAAGCGCGCGUAGGCGGCUUUGCAAGUCGGGUGUGAAAUCCCCAGGCCUAACCUGGGAACUGCAUUCGAGACUGCAUGGCUAGAGUAUCGGAGAGGGAAGUGGAAUUUCAGGUGUAGCGGUGAAAUGCGUAGAUAUCUGAGGGAACAUCAGUGGCGAAAGCGACUUCCUGGACGAAUACUGACGCUCAUGUGCGAAAGCGUGGGGGAGCAAACAGG